UGGCGGACGGGUGAGUAACACGUGGGUAACCUGCCCUUUAGCGGGGGAUAACACUUGGAAACAGGUGCUAAUACCGCAUAAUCUUUUUUCUCGCAUGAGUAAAAAGUGAAAGACGCUUUUGCGUCACUAAAGGAUGGACCCGCGCUGCAUUAGCUAGUUGGUGAGGUAACGGCUCACCAAGGCCACGAUGCAUAGCCGACCUGAGAGGGUGAUCGGCCACACUGGGACUGAGACACGGCCCAGACUCCUACGGGAGGCAGCAGUAGGGAAUCUUCGGCAAUGGACGAAAGUCUGACCGAGCAACGCCGCGUGAGUGAAGAAGGUUUUCGGAUCGUAAAACUCUGUUGUUAGAGAAGAAUAAGGAUGAGAGUAGAAUGUUCAUCCCUUGACGGUAUCUAACCAGAAAGCCACGGCUAACUACGUGCCAGCAGCCGCGGUAAUACGUAGGUGGCAAGCGUUGUCCGGAUUUAUUGGGCGUA
rnacentral:rRNA from 1 species